rnacentral:rRNA from 1 species
CUAAUACAUGCAAGUAGAACGCNUGAAGAGAGGAGCUUGCUCUUCUUGGAUGAGUUGCGAACGGGUGAGUAACGCGUAGGUAACCUGCCUUGUAGCGGGGGAUAACUAUUGGAAACGAUAGCUAAUACCGCAUAACAAUGGAUGACACAUGUCAUUUAUUUGAAAGGGGCAAUUGCUCCACUACAAGAUGGACCUGCGUUGUAUUAGCUAGUAGGUGAGGUAACGGCUCACCUAGGCGACGAUACAUAGCCGACCUGAGAGGGUGAUCGGCCACACUGGGACUGAGACACGGCCCAGACUCCUACGGGAGGCAGCAGUAGGGAAUCUUCGGCAAUGGGGGCAACCCUGACCGAGCAACGCCGCGUGAGUGAAGAAGGUUUUCGGAUCGUAAAGCUCUGUUGUAAGUCAAGAACGAGUGUGAGAGUGGAAAGUUCACACUGUGACGGUAGCUUACCAGAAAGGGACGGCUAACUACGUGCCAGCAGCCGCGGUAAUACGUAGGUCCCGAGCGUUGUCCGGAUUUAUUGGGCGUAAAGCGAGCGCAGGCGGUUUGAUAAGUCUGAAGUUAAAGGCUGUGGGUCAACC